AGGCUGGUUGAAUGAGUUGCCUAUGAAAGCUACUUCAUCUGCAAUAAAACAGACGGCUGCACCAGUGACUGCUGGUUGAAUGAGUUGCCUAUGAAAGCUACUUCAUCUGCAAUAAAACAGACGGCUGCACCAGUGACUGCUGGUUGAAUGAGUUGCCUAUGAAAGCUACUUCAUCUGCAAUAAAACAGACGGCUGCACCAGUGACUGCUGGUUGAAUGAGUUGCCUAUGAAAGCUACUUCAUCUGCAAUAAAACAGACGGCUGCACCAGUGACUGUAAGUUAUGUGAUUUCCUCAUAUUAAAUUAAAAGUAUGUUUGUAGCCUACGCAGUUACCAAUUGGCUGUUGAAACUGUGGCACAUAUUUCUCGGUAACAUUAGUAGGCGGAUAAAAGUGUUGAUACGUAGAAAAGAUGGGCAAACUCUCGUUGGUCUUGGCUUUCUACAAACGAUUAUAA